rnacentral:rRNA from 1 species
GAUGAACGCUGGCGGCGUGCCUAAUACAUGCAAGUCGAGCGAACGGACGAGAAGCUUGCUUUUCUGAUGUUAGCGGCGGACGGGUGUGUAACACGUGGAUAACCUACCUAUAAGACUGGGAUAACUUCGGGAAACCGGAUCUAAUACCGGAUACUAUUUUGAACCGCAUGGUUCAAAAGUGAAAGACGGUCUUGCUGUCACUUAUAGAUGGAUCCGCGCUGCAUUAGCUAGUUGGUAAGGUAACGGCUUACCAAGGCAACGAUGCAUAGCCGACCUGAGAGGGUGAUCGGCCACACGGGAACUGAGACACGGUCCAGAGUCCUACGGGAGGCAGCAGUAGGGAAUCUUCCGCAAUGGGCGAAAGCCUGAAGGAGCAACGCCGCGUGAGUGAUGAAGGUCUUCGGAUCGUAAAACUCUGUUAUUAGGGAAGAACAGAUGUGUAAGUAACUGUGCACAUCGUGACGGUACCUAAUCAGAAAGCCACGGCUAACUACGUG